rnacentral:rRNA from 1 species
UGGCCAGACUCCUACGGGAGGCAGCAGUGGGGAAUAUUGCACAAUGGGCGAAAGCCUGAUGCAGCAACGCCGCGUGAAGGAAGAAGGCCUUCGGGUCGUAAACUUCUGUCCUUGGGGAAGAAGAACUGACGGUACCCAAGGAGGAAGCCCCGGCUAACUACGUGCCAGCAGCCGCGGUAAUACGUAGGGGGCAAGCGUUAUCCGGAAUUAUUGGGCGUAAAGCGCUCGUAGGCGGUAUGUCAAGUCAAGGGUGAAAUCCCCGCGCUCAACGUGGGAACUGCCUUUGAAACUGGCAAACUGGAGUGUGUGAGAGGAUAGUGGAAUUCCAGGUGUAGGAGUGAAAUCCGUAGAUAUCUGGAGGAACAUCAGUGGCGAAGGCGACUAUCUGGCACAUAACUGACGCUGAGGAGCGAAAGCGUGGGUAGCAAACAGGAUUAGAUACCCCAGUA